UUACGGCCACACUACGUUGAAACUCCAGUUCCCGUACGAUCACCGAAGUUAAGCAACGUUGACUCUGGUCAGCACCUAGAUGGGUAAUUGCUUGAGAAUCCCAGAUACUGUAA